AUAACCUUACUUUAUUUUUCAAAGUUCCAUAAUAUUCGUAACCUCACUUAAUAUUAUUUUGAUAUUAAUCUAAUAACGUUGAGAAUUAGAUCCUAAAUUGCAGGAUUAGGAUCCACCUAACUGGAAAGAAAUAAUAGGAAAAUAGUGUUUCUAGCUAUGAAAACAAAUAUUACAACGAAAUCUUUAAAAGGAGUGGAAGUUCACAAUAUCUAUCUAAUUGUAUCAAUUUAUAAAAGACUUAUAAGUGAAGUAGUAAAUGGUACAGAACAAGGAAAUUUCAAAGGAAAGAAUCAUGAAGAAGCAUAAAUACAUUCUACAUGAACCAUUAUUUUUGAAUGAUAUUCAUUGUUUACUUUCAGAAUAACAACAAGAACACAAGUAAUCACUAAAAUACUUGGAGAAGGAACAGAGGAGGAAUUGUGUCUUCCCAUUAAAGCAAAUAAUAGAAAAGAGAAGAGAGCAAAUAAAGAGCCUUUACAAAGACACCGCUAUAACAAUAAACAGCAUCUCAGACAAAGAUUUGGAUUUGAUCUACAUUAACCAAGGAGUAAGACAAGGCUGUUUUCUAUCACUAUUUGUAUUAAAUUUGUAUAUGGAUGAUCUCAUCAAAAAAUGGAAGGUCUAAAGGUUGCAAUGUGGUUACUUAAUUACUAUAUAACACACUUCAUUAUAGUAAUGUAAAAUCUAAGAAAUUAAUUCAUUAAUUUUAUAAAUAAUUUAAUUGUAAAUUUUAAAGGUAUCUGUAAAUUAGUUGAAGUAUUUUGAAGAAAUUUCUCUAUUGAAUACGAGAUGGUGCUAAAUUUCUUUAAAUUCCUUUAACUAAUAGGAAGAAAUCCCAGCGUGAUUGUUUAUAGCACAUCCCGUCAUUUAGGCAUUUUGAAAUGCGGUUUAUUAUUUUUUCUAUUUUGGAAGGUUUACAAAAGUCGGACGGGGUUAUGGGUUUAUUAAUAACGUUCAACGGGGCCGCUUUAUAUCGAAAUGAGAUCGACCACAUGGCGUCCCCAAAAACUUGUAAAACGAAACCUGUACGGAAUCAAAAAAAUUUGAAUGCAUUUUACUUAUUUUUACAACAUUUAAAACGAUUUGAAAAGAACAAAAAAAAAUUCUUAGUACUUCUUAAAAGUGGCGCCUACACUCGAAAAACAAAUCUUUUAAAACCUUGUAAAAGAACCACUAACAAAGAGUUUCAUUGCGCCUCUUGAAUUCAUUGUUAACACUUCAAUGCUCAUUUUGAACCAUUCAAUAUGAAAGAAAAGAAUCGCUUCCGCCGCGGAAUCCUCUAAGAUGUUUUUACCUGUUUCCGGUGAUACUUUUUUUUUUUUUGGUAUGGUGCUGGGUGGCCGAGGAGGUUUAAGUUUAAGUUCCGGGAAGGGAUGAUUUCGUUCCUUUUGAGGAAAAUGCUUCGACGAAAUGGGCCAAGAAUUCGAUUUUCUUUAAUUUUUUUUUUAUUUUGAUCGGGAAUAAUUGCAGGACACACACCGAAAUUCUUUUAACUGUAAAUUUUUAUUACCGUCAAAUUGGUGAUCGUAAAAUCUUGUACAGUUAUGCAACGCUUUACUUUGAUGAGUACCCAAAGAAAUUAAAUAAUUUUUUUUUAACUUCUAUUUCAUUUCAAUCUGAUCAAUACUAACCAAUGUACAAUUCUAUUCCAACUUAAAUUACUAUUACAAGAUCAUCUUAAAGCAAUUUCCUUAAUGUUUUGUCAUCAUUAGAUGUAGGUCAGAAUCUUAUAUCGACUUUUGGGAAUCCUUUCUUAUUUUCAUAUCUCCGUGAUUAGUGGUGGAGACAUGAGUCUAGCUCUUCGCCCCAUGUUUGAAGGUUUCAGGGUUUUGUUGUCGCUAAUUGCAGUUUUGAGCCGCAAAGACAGAUUAAAACUAAAAAGGAAGGAAAUGGCAGAGAGCAAUGAGAAUGGCGAAAUUAUUUCUGCUUUGUUGUUUAUGGCCAUUCAUGUCUUUGUGAUAAUGUUAUUUUUAUUGUUGUAAAACGUGCAGACUUCUAUUUAAAGCAUCGCAAUAACGGGAUUUAUGGGAACUAAGAAAUGAUUUAUGGCACAAUAAAACUAGAUCAAAUUUGCUUUAAAAUGCUUCAUAUUUCAUUUCGAUAUCUUAAUUAGUUCUUGAGAUACGAUAUUUUUAGUUUGAUUAUGAACCUAGAUAGCUGUAAAACAUGCAGAAUUGUAUUUAAAGAACCAUAAUAACGGGAUUUAUGGAAACUAAGAAAUUAUUUAUGGUACAAUAAAACUAGAUCAAAUUU
rnacentral:lncRNA from 1 species